CUGGUAAAACAUAGAUCUCCUGUGUCUGUGCAGGUGUUUCAGAGGAGACCAGCCCUAGAUUCAUUAGCAUGAAGGAAGAAGACCCAUCUUCACCAGGAUGGGCAGGUGUCUGCACUCUGGGAUUCCCCCCAGCAGUGCUCCACCCUCGACACACCCAGUUCUACAGUCUUCAGACGGUUAUGACCGAUACCACGGGCCCCACUGGCUCUCAAGCCUCUGUACCACUGAGUAGGACAUGAAGGGCUGUUGCAUAGGUCGUGCACACAUCUCAUCAAACGAAGCAGAAAGUUGGCGUUUAUCGCUUUCAUUUCAACCACAGAAAUCCAG